AGCAGCCGCGGUAAUUCCAGCUCCAAUAGCGUAUAUUAAAGUUGUUGCAGUUAAAAAGCUCGUAGUUGAAUUUCGGGAUUGACACAUCGGUCGUGCCUUAAGGGGUGUGAACUGGUGUAGUCAAUUUCUCACCUUCUGGAGAACCGCGAUGUCCUUAAUUGGGUGCCGCGAGGAACCAGGACCUUUACUUUGAAAAAAUUAGAGUGUUUAAAGCAGGCAUUUUUGCUUGAAUACAUUAGCAUGGAAUAAUAAAAUAGGACGGCAUGAUUCUAUUUUGUGGUUUCUAGGAUCACCGUAAUGAUUAAUAGGGAUAGUUGGGGGCAUUAGUAUUCAAUUGUCAGAGGUGAAAUUCUUGGAUUUAUUGAAGACUAACUACUGCGAAAGCAUUGCCAAGGAUGUUUUCAUUAAUCAAGAACGAAAGUUAGGGGAUCGAAGACGAUCAGAUACCGUCGUAGUCUUAAACCAUAAACCUAUACGCCGACUAGGAAUCAAGACGAUUGUUAAUUUUUUAANGUACUUCGUUUUGGCGUCCUUAACGGGAAACCUAAA
rnacentral:rRNA from 1 species